rnacentral:rRNA from 1 species
UGGGGAAUUUUGAACAAUGGGGGAAACCCUGAUCCAGCCAUCCCGCGUGUGCGAUGAAGGCCUUCGGGUUGUAAAGCACUUUUGGCAGGAAAGAAACGUCAUGGGUUAAUACCCCGUGAAACUGACGGUACCUGCAGAAUAAGCACCGGCUAACUACGUGCCAGCAGCCGCGGUAAUACGUAGGGUGCAAGCGUUAAUCGGAAUUACUGGGCGUAAAGCGUGCGCAGGCGGUUCGGAAAGAAAGAUGUGAAAUCCCAGAGCUCAACUUUGGAACUGCAUUUUUAACUACCGGGCUAGAGUGUGUCAGAGGGAGGUGGAAUUCCGCGUGUAGCAGUGAAAUGCGUAGAUAUGCGGAGGAACACCGAUGGCGAAGGCAGCCUCCUGGGAUAACACUGACGAUCAUGCACGAAAGCGUGGGGAGCAAACAGG